ACCUCUCGUCCGCCCCUCCCCACGGCGCAACGUCCUCACGCACAGGGGCCAGCCAAUCGGUGCCAUAAGAUGAGGUUGCGCCCGGGGCGGAACUCAGUGAGGGGCGGGGCCAGACGCAGCCGAGUAUCUUGAGGAGAAGGACUUUAAAGCGUUCAGGGAUUUUAGCUGCCGCUGUGGAGUUCCGCCGCUGUUCUUCCGCUGGAGGGCGCAGUAGUUCCUUAAGAGGGAAUGGUGCGGCGAAUAGCUGUGAGUUCAAAGUCCUGACUACAGGUAUAUCUACUGUAGUAGAAAAGGAUCUUUUAUUUGCUCUGGGCUUUAAGAAAGGGGAGUGGCAGAAGGGCUGCCUUCCAAGUCGCACACACGAAUGGGUCACGGGAGCUUCUAUCCUGGCUUUGGCCAGAUCGGCCUCCAGAGCCGAGCUCGAGCCUCUUCUGCCCCCUGCUGCUUGGCUGUAGCCCCUGCUCUUCUGCAAGUAGGCGGCAACUGCCAUUUGCAUAAGAUCAAUAUCACUCUCUGUUAAUGGCCUUGUAAGCUCCUGAAGGCAGAGGCCCUGUUUCUUCAUCGGUGCACCUCCACCUUUUGUUCUAGCUUGGAGUUCAAUAAAUUUUGGUGGGACUGCACCUGCAUGUCUAUAUAAAGGAAAUACCCUUCUCUUUGGAGGGAUGCUGUCAAGGUCACUCUCAGAAAAGCAAGCGAGACAAGAGGGUGUUGAGCAGUCAACAAAGCAAAGACUGGAUGUGAGGAAAUUUAUUUCUCCUAAAGCAGAGGCUAUGGAAAACUUACUAGGAACAGUGAAGUCUGGCCAUCUUAUGCUCAUUCAGCCAUCCAAGGUUGUAAAUAAGACUUUGAGAAUAAUAGUGAUGGUUCACUUAUACGUAGUGAACUUUUCAAAGGGCGUUUGCAUCUGUUAUCUUGUUUGCUCCUUCAGUGACUGUGACAUUGGCAAGACAAUUAUUGCUGAUGAUGCAACAAGCCCCAAGAGGUUAAACCAAGUUACUCUUGAGGCAGGGGCAGGUUCGACAUUAACAUGGGUUUUCUGACAUAAAUUGAAAAUCUGAGCAGGUUAAAAAGAAUGAUAAUGCCUAGGUUAGGGUUCUCAUAGAAAGUAACUGAAAGCAAUCUUU
rnacentral:lncRNA from 1 species